UGGUCGGUAGCGCAGAGGUCGACGCGCCGCACUGCUCGUGCGGAGGACGCCGGUUCGAAUCCGGUCCGACCAC
rnacentral:tRNA from 1 species